AGCGGCGGACGGGUGAGUAAUGCCUAGGAAUCUGCCUGRUAGWGGGGGAUAACGUCYGGAAACGGKCGCUAAUACCGCAUAMGUCCUGAGGGAGAAAGUGGGGGAUCUUCGGACCUCACGCUAUCAGAUGAGCCYAGRUSGGAUUAGCUAGUWGGUGGGGUAAAGGCYYACCWAGGCGACGAUCCGUAACUGGUCUGAGAGGAUGAUCAGUCACACUGGAACUGAGACACGGUCCAGACUCCUACGGGAGGCAGCAGUGGGGAAUAUUGSACAAUGGGCGMAAGCCUGAUCCAGCCAUGCCGCGUGUGUGAAGAAGGYCUUCGGAUUGUAAAGCACUUUMAGUUGGGAGGAAGGGCAGUAAGUUAAUACCUUSMUGUWUUGACGUUACCAACAGAAUAAGCACCGGCUAACUUCGUGCCAGCAGCCGCGGUAAUACGAAGGGUGCAAGCGUUAAUCGGAAUUACUGGGCGUAAAGCGCGCGYAGGUGGUUCAGCAAGUUGGAUGUGA
rnacentral:rRNA from 1 species